rnacentral:rRNA from 1 species
UUUGUAACACCCGAAGUCGGUGAGGUAACCUUUUUGGAGCCAGCCGCCUAAGGUGGGAUAGAUGAUUGGGGUGAAGUCGUAACAAGGUAGCCGUAUCGGAAGGUGCGGCUGGAUCACCUCCUUUCUAAGGAA